UGCCCAGCAACUCCUAUCCCUAUCUCCUCGUGAUACUGGCCGGGGUACGAGCCUGGGGGAGA
rnacentral:ribozyme from 1 species